CAGGCCUAACACAUGCAAGUCGAACGGAAUUUCUGUAGAUUAAACCCUACGGGAGUUUAGUGGCAGACGGGUGAGUAAUGCGUAGGAAUCUGCCUGAUAGUAUGGGAUAGCUGUUAGAAAUGACAGGUAAUACCGUAUAAUCCCUAUGGGGGAAAGAUUUAUCGCUAUCAGAUGAGCCUACGUUAGAUUAGCUUGUUGGUAGGGUAAAGGCCUACCAAGGCAAUGAUCUAUAGCUGGUCUGAGAGGACGAUCAGCCACACUGGAACUGAGAUACGGUCCAGACUCCUACGGGAGGCAGCAGUGGGGAAUAUUGGACAAUGGGCGCAAGCCUGAUCCAGCCAUGCCGCAUGAGUGAAGAAGGCUUUAGGGUUGUAAAACUCUUUUAGUGGGGAAGAUAAUGACGGUACCCACAGAAAAAGUCCCGGCAAACUCCGUGCCAGCAGCCGCGGUAAU
rnacentral:rRNA from 1 species